CACAAGUGCUGAUUCUAUACUAGUUGCUCCCGUAGAAGCAACCGGCGCGCCGUCGCCGGCCGCGACUGCGGCGGUGCGCCCACCAGAGUCACUCCCCCCCUCCCCCCUUAGCACCAGGAUGCCUCGGAGCGCCUGCCCCUCGCAAUGCCUCCGGUUUCGAGCGGGGAGGGCGCCGCUGGUGCCUGAUGCCGCUGCUGGUCGACGGCGCCGUGCCGCCAUCGUCAGCCCCGUGGGUAUUUCGGGCGGGGGCGCAUCGGAAUUCGGAAGCGAUGCCGGAGCCGGAGCUGCUGGGCGCCAACUGAACUGGUGGAUUAAAAAUCUGAGAGGAACUGGCGAGAAUUCGGACAGAGAGUGAAGUGUCGGCGAGAGUGGGAGGCACACACAGGGUGAUAGAUUUCACUUGCGCCUGGGUUGGGCUGGGGAGCACGCCAGCAUGUGCUUUCUGAGUAGGUGCGCAUUCAUGCUUCUCUUCGCUUUGACUUUCACCUUUAAGUUUUCCUCUGAAAUAUGUUGGGACUUUCGUGGUCUGCCAUGACCAGGAUAAAUCUGAACUUCUCCAUCAAAGCUUAUUGUAUAAUGUUGCUCGAAGUCGGCCAACAGAAUCGUGAUUUGCUUCUAUUAUUUGAGACUCCACCUUCCCAUCAGAAAAACAAACAAAUGGAUUGUCUUCAAAGGGGACCUUAUUCAACUCUGGAAGAACAUAUUGUAUUUGACAUCACCACUUUCUCCUAAGAAAGCACCACACCUAACUGCACAAACAUAAUAUUCUGGAACCUGGAGCACGAGGUUUUUUUUGUAAGAUUUUGUGCGGGAGUCAUAUUAUUCUCUGCAAAACUCAUGUGAAGUUCGUGCACUCUGCCCUAAAUGAAGUUUGUUCAAUUUUGGCUAAUAUAAUCAUGAUUUUUUGCAUCAAUUAUCAUAGAUUCCACCUGCCACCAGAAAAAAAAGCAAAGGGUUAGUCUUCGGAGUGGACCUUAUCCUACAGAAAGAACACACCUAACUAUUUAUUCGAAUCAGUUCAGAAUACCCAAAUCAUUGGUUUUGAUGCACUUUCCUGUUUCUGCCCAAACAUAAUAUUCUGGAAUCUGGAGCACGAGGUUUUGUUGUGGAAUUUCUGCGGACAGUCAUAUUAUUCUCAGCAAAGUUUAUGUGAAGUUUCUGCACUGUAUUUAGGCCCUAAAUGUUGGAAAUGUAGGCCGAAAACACACGCAAAGCUACUUACCUUUGAGAAAAAAGCUAAUAUUCUACUGCUUUGCACCUAGCAUCUUCGGCUACAGGUCUGGUAACUUUACCAUUAAAGAAUAUCUAAUCAUGAUCAACUCUUUGCUGCUACAGCCUCCAUCAACUUUGGCUAGCUUUCAUUGCUUUAUUUCUAUUAUCUUGUAGCGCAUUCAUUUUAAGAAACUGAGCACAUUUUUCAUGUCUUGUGCUAUUUCCUUUGAGGAACACACUUCAUUUACCCUCUCUUUGAUAUGCCUUUAGCUUUCACAAUGAGCUGAUUUAUAUUUGAUGACAACUCUGGUUGCCGGAUAUCCCUGGGAGUGGCAACUUUUUUGCUAUCUGCAGGUCUGCAUCCUUCCUUUAUAAAGGGAACUAUCCUGUAAUAUUAGUAAAUGCAACCAAGUUCCACUUCCAUUGCCAGACAGAAAUUGUAUGCUAUGCAAUGGGAAUGCUGAAUGAAAUUGCUCGCAACUGUUUUUUUACAUAAUCUAUAUGUUUUCUUUAAUGCAACACAAAUGCAUGCUGUAGCUUUUAGCUACGACCAAAGUGAUACUGAGCUGAUACGUGUGGAAGUACACAACUGACACUUGUGGCAAUGAAGAUUUACUUUUGGAAUCUUGAGGAGGAUACAUGGUGGAUCACCCGAAGCAACUUUAACAGGUUGAGAAGACUCAAGAGGAUACCAUGAGAGAGACCACUGUGUCAUCUCUUGUGUUACCUCACCAGAGUGCUUUAGAACUGAUCAGUUUUAGACCAAGUAUUGGAAAACUUAAAUUAUGCUAUGUGUUUGCUGAUGCUCCGCUCUUCAUUGCUAAGAACAGUUAAGUCUGUAUAUGUUAAUUGAGCAUGUUAAUUUGAUACAUCCUUUGCAUGAACGAUACUUGGAAAACUGACUGGUGCCCUAGUCCACGCUCCAAUGGCAAGAAGUGCAUGAUAAAAUAUUCCAAGAAUAUUAACAAAAUUCAUGGAUGUAAAUGUAAUACAUAAAAAUGCUAAAGUUUGAUGUCAAAUUCAUCCUGAUAUCAAGGACCAGAAAAGGCAGUCAUUCUUACACUCUUCAUUUCCGCCAAGACUGUCAACUUGUGUUUCUGUAUCUUGAAUAUUUGAUGUCAGGAACGAAUAUGAUACUGAUCCUCUGGAAUUUUGAAACAUUGUAUCGUUAUACUUUAUGGGACUUUCACAACAACGACGUGAUCCCCACUGGACAAAAAAUGCUUAUUCCUUACAUUUUCGUGGGACUGAUUGGUGUUUUACUUUUGGCACAAAACUUGUAUUUGUCAUUGUUAAAGAACUAAAAGAGAAUGAUUUUUCAAGUGCUUACGUUUGGGAUCUUUCAGGCAAUGUGCUUUAUAUACUUGGCCUGGCACCUUUCAAGAGCACACCCAUGUGGCUUAAAUACUAAGCGGUUCCUUUUUCAGCUGCUUUGAUUUAAAUAAUGCAGUUGAACGACAAAUAGUGAAAUUCUUCUUAUUGCAGAAAACAUAUGUUAUAUUAUUUUGGCACUCAUUAUUUGAUAUGAUCCCACCAUAUGUAGAAUAGGCAAAUUUAGUGGAACGGUGAUGUUUUAUGUAUUAGCUAGGGCUAGCUGCAACAAGGUAGCAGAAAGCUUUAUUGUUGGCACAUUUGCUGGGUGCAACAAACUUUUGUUAUUGUCAGAAUGGAGACAUCACAUAGUGGGAAGUGUCAUUAUUUUUUAAAAGAUGAGGUUCUGGCCACAUAUAGAGUCUUGUGCCAUCAUUCUGCUUGGUGCAGGUACGUAAUGAUUUGAGUGAAGCACAUAGUGCUUCAUAAUUAUGCUUCUUACUAUUCAAACUUCUACAAUUUACAUGUUGAAGCAUAUUUUUAUUCUGCAAGGUUUGUAUAUGUGCUCUGAGCAAUCUUAA